rnacentral:rRNA from 1 species
AGGACGAACGCUGGCGGCGUGCCUAACACAUGCAAGUGGAGCGACGAACCAGGCUUCGGCCUGGGGCUAAGCCGCGAACGGGUGAGUAACACGUGGGUAACCUGCCCCGAUGAUUGGGACAACCCGAGGAAACUCGGGCUAAUACCGAAUGUGCCCUCCGGCCAUAAGGCCGCUGGGGAAAGGAAGCUUCGGCCUCCGCAUCGGGAUGGGCCCGCGGCCCAUUAGCUAGUUGGUGAGGUAACGGCUCACCAAGGCGACGAUCAGUAGCUGGUCUGAGAGGAUGAUCAGCCACAUUGGGACUGAGACACGGCCCAAACUCCUACGGGAGGCAGCAGUGGGGGAAUAUUGGACAAUGGGCGCAAGCCUGAUCCAGCCAUGCCGCGUGAGUGAUGAAGGCCCUAGGGUUGUAAAGCUCUUUUGUGCGGGAAGAUAAUGACGGUACCGCAAGAAUAAGCCCGGCUAACUUCGUGCCAGCAGCCGCGGU